rnacentral:rRNA from 1 species
GGGGAAUAUUGCACAAUGGGCGCAAGCCUGAUGCAGCCAUGCCGCGUGUGUGAAGAAGGCCUUCGGGUUGUAAAGCACUUUCAGCGAGGAGGAAGGCGUUAAGGUUAAUAACCUUGGCGAUUGACGUUACUCGCAGAAGAAGCACCGGCUAACUCCGUGCCAGCAGCCGCGGUAAUACGGAGGGUGCAAGCGUUAAUCGGAAUUACUGGGCGUAAAGCGCACGCAGGCGGUUUGUUAAGUCAGAUGUGAAAUCCCCGAGCUUAACUUGGGAACUGCAUUUGAAACUGGCAAGCUAGAGUCUUGUAGAGGGGGGUAGAAUUCCAGGUGUAGCGGUGAAAUGCGUAGAGAUCUGGAGGAAUACCGGUGGCGAAGGCGGCCCCCCUGGACAAAGACUGACGCUCAGGUGCGAAAGCGUGGGGCAGCAAACAGGAUUAGAUACCCUGGUAGUCCACGCUGUAAACGAUGUCGAUUUGGAGGUUGUGGGCUUGACCCGUGGCUUCCGGAGCUAACGCGUUAAAUCGACCGCCUGGGGAGUACGGCCGCAAGGUUAAA